CCGGCCCCGCCCCUUCCGCGUGCGCGCGCCGCCGGCCGCCCCGCCCCCGGCCUGCUGAGCUCGGAGCAGGACCUGGCCCGAGGCGAGGGCGCGCCCGGACGGUGACUCCAGGUCUGUUGCGUGCCCAGGCUUGUCUCCUCCAGCUGUUUGUCUGAGAGUCUAACCCUGCAAUUACUGGAGUCGGCCGAAUCUCCCUCCCGCCCUGAUCUGUAAAGUGAAGGCCUGGAGAAAAGCGUUCCUCUUAAAGGCAAAGGAGAGAGGAGCCGUGACUAUGUAUGCAGAACCAGGUUUUAUUGCUGAUAUCUGGGGACAGAAUGUUUCAGGCCUGGCUAGCCAUCAACAUCUGCUGGACUACUGUGAUCAAGACCGGUGAAAAGGAGAACUGGAACUGCUGCUACCUGUAACAUGCUUAAGAAUAUGUCAUAACCUGGUUGAACUUUUUUUUUAGAGAAGCAGUCAAUAGUGACCCAGUGAUACUCUUCACCGGCCAAACCACAUCUGGAGUUCUUUGUUCAGUUCUAGAUUGAGCACUUCAAGAAGACAUCAAUGAAGUUGGAAUUAUUUCCAAGGGGAGCAAAAUGAUGGAGAGAACUCAAAAGUACCACCAAUGAAGAAGUAGUGAUUAAACUUGGAAGGAUUUUUAUAGAAAGGAAAAAGCUACUGGGACUACCUCCAAAUAAGUAAAGACUCAUCAGAGGACAGAUUUGUUUCAUGUGGUCUUAAGAAGUGCACACUUAAGAGAAACAGAUUUCAGAUUUGAAAAGAAGAUUUCCUUCUAACACUAGCCAGAAAAGUUGUGGCUUAGGGUGGGUGGAAGCCCUGACCAUUGGAUUUUACUUUAAGUAGAUUCCUAUGGUUUUUAAAGGGGAAUGGGUACAGAGAAGCCAUGCAUCAAGAGAAUUAGUUGAUGGUUUUUUUAAAGCCAUUUCCAACCUUGAGAUUCAAUUAGUCUAUAAUUUCAGCCUUAAAAAGAAUUUACAGGUUAGCUAUGAGACAAGACAAAAUGCAUCAAAAGGUAAAUAAUGAAAGGAGGCCAUAUGAUAAUGAGCAGUACUAACAAUAAAUGCUAGUACAUUUAUUGUUCUCAUUACAAUUCCAGAGGCUUAAGGGAGAAGGAGGAAAUGAAAAUAGACUGUGUCUAGAACUGCCCUGUCCAGUAGGGUAGCCACUAGCCAAAUAUGGCUAUUUACACUUGAAAUGUAGCUAAUCUGAAUGGAGACAUGCAGUAAAUCUGAAAUACACACCAGAUAUUGAAGACUUAGUUCAAAAAAAUGUAAAAUAUCUUUUUUUUCUUGUCCCUCCUCCACCACCCCCCCCCCGUCUCCCCGUUCAAAAUGUAAAAUAUCUUAAUACUUAUGCUGACUACAUGUUAAAAUAAUGGCAUAUAUUGGGUCAAUAUAUUAAAAUUAAUUUCACCUGUUUAUUUUUUUAAUGUGCUUACUAGAAAAUUUUAACCCUACCAGACCACUGUACCGAUUUUUCGGUAAUUUCAGUGGAUUGGCACACAAAGGUAGAAUAUUGGCACUAGAUGAAAGGUAGACCUAUUUUCUACAAUGUCUCCAAGUUCCAUCUUAUUCUAACCACUUGUUUGCAUGUAACUAACAUUUUUCUAUAUCAUGUUGGUUUUUUCUCUUUAAUGCUCAGGAGCCCAGGUAUAGGGGACAGUUAGGUUCAGGGCCUCAGGCCUGGUAGACUUAAUAUAUGGCUUGAAUCUUAUUUCUAUUAGAUAGUUCUGGCCAAAAAAAAUAUACUUCAUUGAAUUUAUCAAAACUAUCUAUAAAGGAGAGUGAACUGGAAGACAUUCUAUCUACUAAAAACAGAGGAAAACCAUAUUAAUGACCAAUUCUUUUUAUACAUAUACUAGAGGCCUGGUGCACAAAAUUCAUGCACAGGGGGUAGAGGGUCCCUCAGCCCAGCCUGCAACAAUGCCAGCGUCCCUCAUCCCGGCCUCUGGCCCAAGGCCCCUCUCCUCCUUCCAUGUGGCUGGGGCUGGGAUACUGGGCUUGCAUCACCAUGAGCCCAGCGUGAGCCCAGCAUCCCUCGCCCUGGCCUCUGGCCUGAGGCUCCUCCCCUCCCACGUGGCCGGGUUGGGGACCCUCCCCUGCCUCCAUGCGGCUGGGGCGCAGACGCUGGGCUCGCAUUGCUGGGGCGACACCACCAGCGACCCACCCUGGACCACUAUGGGUGCUUUCCAUCUUUGUUGUCGAGUGAUGGUUAAUUUGCAUAUUUCUCUUUUAUUAGAUGGGAUGAACAUAAAAAGAAUCAACAGGCAAAUCAGGGUUAUCACCACUAUGAAAAAGACAAAGAAAGGCAGGUAGAAAAACUAACUCCAAAGGAAUCAAGUAUAAUUCCUGAGAUAAAAGAACAUUUCUAAAAAGCACUCCAAUUUAUAAUUCUCCAGUAUUAAAAAUAUAUUACAUCAGGGUACUUUGAAAAAGGAACAACCAUAGAAUGAAAUAGAGUUCUGAAACACUUAUAAAACAUCAUUACUUAAGUAAAACCAAAGAAAUCUAGAACAUAGCAUACAUAAACAUAAAAGAAAAUAUGAGAAAAGAUUCAUGGAGAGCCAAUUCAGCAGACUUCACAUUCAACUAGUGGAAGAGUUUAAAAAAGAAAAAUUGAGAAAAAUAUUUUUAAUUAUAUGUUUAAUUAUAGGAGGCCUUUUUAGGAUAUAGAAGAAAAGUUUUCAAGUUUAGUAGACUAUAGGGUACCAGAAAAUAGAUUUAAAAAGACUCAUACUCAUUAUGCUAAGUGAUUUCACUCAUAUGUGGAAUCUAAUGAACAAAAUUAAUGAAUAAGCAAAAUCCAGAAAGGUUGACAGCUGUCAGGGGUGUUUUGUCAGGAGUUCUAUUACUAUGGGAGAUGAAGAGAUAUUU